rnacentral:rRNA from 1 species
AUUGAACGCUGGCGGAAUGCUUUACACAUGCAAGUCGAGCGGCAGCGCGGGGCAACCUGGCGGCGAGCGGCGAACGGGUGAGUAAUACAUCGGAACGUGCCCAGACGUGGGGGAUAACUACUCGAAAGAGUGGCUAAUACCGCAUACGAUCUAAGGAUGAAAGCGGGGAUCGCAAGACCUCGCGCGUUUGGAGCGGCCGAUGGCAGAUUAGGUAGUUGGUGGGGUAAAGGCUUACCAAGCCCGCGAUCUGUAGCUGGUCUGAGAGGAUGAUCAGCCACACUGGGACUGAGACACGGCCCAGACUCCUACGGGAGGCAGCAGUGGGGAAUUUUGGACAAUGGGCGAAAGCCUGAUCCAGCCAUCCGCGUGCAGGAUGAAAGGCCCUCGGGUUGUAAACUGCUUUGUACAGAC